UUUUUCUGUGGUGGUACCCUAUAUGGAACCGAAUGGGUAAUAACCGCUGGUCAGUGUGUCUACGGAGCCAUCUUGUUCACAAUUCGGUUGGGAUCAGUACACUUGAAUGAUGAUGAUUCAAAUGUAUUGCUUUUAGCUACAUCUGAGUACUUUUUACAUCCUGAUUAUAACCCAGAAACUUUGGAAAAUGACAUCGCGUUGAUUAAAUUGCGAAGUGCAAUAACAUUUACUAGUGAGUUAUAAUUCCGAGUUAUAACUGAUUUAUUCUUUAAGACUAUGUUCGUUCGAUCGAUUCUUUGGGAAGGCCUGAUGUAGACACUAAUUCUGACCUUACUGCAAUUGGUUGGGGACAAACCAGUGAUGAAAUUGGAACUUUGGCACCAAAUCUUCAAUAUAUAAAGUUCGUUCCAAUAACCAACGAAGAGUGUAAAAUAACCUAUGGAAAUCAAAUUAAAGAUAAUAUGGUGUGUUUAGUAGGAAAUUAUAAUGAAGGUACUUGCCACGGAGACACGGGAAGUCCACUGAUAGAAUUAUAUAGCUACAGGUACACACUUCACGCUGGAGUUGCAAGUUUUAUAAGUGGCAAUGGGUGUGAAAGCACGGAUCCCUCGGGAUACACAAGAACAUUUCCAUAUGACGAUUGGCUUCGAAUCAUCAUGUACUGACACAUGUAAAAAUAACUCCAAGAAAUAACUAGUAAAUAGAAUAAGAAAUACCAAAA